rnacentral:rRNA from 1 species
GAACACGUGGGUGAUCUGCCCUGCACUCUGGGAUAAGCCUGGGAAACUGGGUCUAAUACCGGAUAGGACCAUGCUUUAGUGUGUGUGGUGGAAAGUUUUUCGGUGUAGGAUGAGCCCGCGGCCUAUCAGCUUGUUGGUGGGGUAAUGGCCUACCAAGGCGGCGACGGGUAGCCGGACUGAGAGGUUGGUCGGCCACAUUGGGACUGAGAUACGGCCCAG